rnacentral:rRNA from 1 species
UAAUACGGAGGGCGCAAGCGUUGUUCGGAAUUACUGGGCGUAAAGCGCGUGUAGGCGGCCUGACAAGUCGGGUGUGAAAUCCCGGAGCUCAACUCCGGAACUGCAUCCGAUACUGUCAGGCUCGAGUCUCGGAGAGGACGGCGGAAUUUCCGGUGUAGAGGUGAAAUUCGUAGAUAUCGGAAGGAACACCAGUGGCGAAGGCGGCCGUCUGGACGAUGACUGACGCUGAGACGCGAAAGCGUGGGGAGCAAACAGGAUUAGAUACCCUGGUAGUCCACGCCGUAAACGUUGGGUGCUAGACGUCGGGGGUAUUGACCCCUCCGGUGUCGAAGCUAACGCAUUAAGCACCCCGCCUGGGGAGUACGGCCGCAAGGCUA